GGAAGAACCAUAGUUCAGUGGUAGAGCAUCUGCUUUGAGUGCACAAGGUCCCAGGUUCGAUCCCUGGCAUCUCCA